ensembl:misc_RNA 7SK 7SK RNA
GGACAUGAGGGCAGCCUGGCUGUGACAUCUGUUGCCCCAUUGAUCGCCAGGAUUGAUUUGGCUGAUGUGGCUGCCUAGGCGGGUGUCCCCUUCCCCCCUCACGGCUCCACAUGCACUCCUUCUGAAGCUGCAUGCUCGGUCAAAGAGGACAGCCAUCCCCAAUAGAGGAGGCUCGGUCUUCGGUUAAGGGUACACGAGCAGCUGUGCCCCACUGCUAGAACCUUCAAACAUACUCUCAAUUUAUUCAUUAUGGAAGGACUGUCAAAUGCCAUCACUUUGUGUAGAUGGUCUUGGAUGUUUCAUGUUAAAAAAAACAUUCCUGAA